rnacentral:lncRNA from 1 species
AGGGACCUCUGCCCAGGAAAGCCAGGCUUGCAUGAAGGAAAUGAUUUCCUAUGAUUCUGCUUACUGCUUAAAAAAAUUAAUCAAGUUUUCUGCCUGACAAGAUCCAGUAUCUGCCGGAGGAGCCCCACCUUCUGCUACUAUUAUGUUCUUCAGAUGAGUAGAAGAGAGUGGGGAGGGAGAGAGCAGGAAGAAGAAAGGAAGAAUAAUGUCUUGAAAUUGAACAUUCAGCAGGAACUGUGGAAAUCCAAGUCAAGUAAUAUUCUCAACAGUUUUCUAAGGAUAAUGGUCUCCAGCUUCGUCAAUGUUCCUGCAAAGGACAUGAUGCUGACUUUGAAGAUGCAAGCUUCCACAUCUACAGCCUCAAGGAAACAAAUUCAGCCAACCAACUGAGGGAGCUUUCCUUGUCCUGCCUCAAGAUGAGAUCACAGUCUGCCCAACACCAUGAUUUAGGCCUUGUGACACCUGAGCUCAGAUGGAAAAGAAUGGUGUUACUGAGACCCUUCAAGAUUCCCAGUGUAAUUCAAUAAAGAAAAGGCAACACAAAGGGGUUGUAUAGAAUUCGCCACAUUAUGGACCCAUGUCAUAGAGAGAAUCCACGGUGCAUUUGUUAGCUGCAUUUAAAUGACAACACUUUCAGAUCCAAGAUUUAUUUGGGAUAAAAAUUUACCUGGAUGCAAGGCUAUUCAGAAUGAAGAUUAAUGAUAUGGUUUGGCUGUGUCCCCACCCAAACUUCAUCUUGAAUUCCCACGUGUUGUGAGAGGGACCUGGUGGGAGAUAAUUGAACCAUGGGGGCAGGUCUUUCUCAUGCUGUUCUCAUGAGAGUGAAUAAGUCUCAUGAAACCUGAUGGUUUUAUAAGGGGGAAUUUCCCUGCACAAGCUCUCUCUCUGCCUUUUGCCAUCCAUGUAAGACGUGACUUGGUCCUCCUUGCCUUCUACCAUGAUUAUGAGGCCUCCCCAGCCACGUGGAACUGUGAGUCCAUUAAACCUCUUUCUUUUGUAAA